UAGGAAAAGGCCCAGGAAAACAGCAACAAGGUCAGAACUUUCACAGAUGUUGGUUGCUAGGCAGAGUCCCUGGGCUGGAACCCAGAGUAGUGGGCAGGCCCAGGUUCCCCUACUGGGCAAGUGGCACAGACUGGGCAGUGGAUAGGAAGGCUGGGACUUUGGUACCCUGGAACAGGAGGACUAUAGUGAGCUGGCCAUAAAGCUGUUACUGAGAGGGAGCAACCGAGUUGAAAGUGAGAGAAACUGACUAUGGGGCAAGCAAGCAGAGGAGGGGGGCAUCAGACUCGUGGAGAGCUAAUCCCUAGAUGAGCCAGAAGGAGGCACGCUUCAAUGCUCACUGACGAUAAUGUUAAAUAGCAUAAGGCCAAGAACUGGGACACCUACGGAAACACACAUUCACUCAGUGAUGAUUCCCUGUUUAGUUACAUAAUGGGAUCUAUCAGACCUGUAUCAACUGCUUCAUUAUCUUGCCCAGAAUUGAUGUCCGGCAGACAAGCCUAUCAUUACCUGGGUCAUCCUAUUUACCCUUUUCCCCAAUGAUCCAAGAUUUAUUGAUAAUCAACAUCAGCAGUCCAGCAAUCUACUCAGCCAGCUCUUUAAAAACGGAUUCAAGUUAAGUGGACCUGUUGAUUUUAAAAAUAUUUAACUUUUAGUAGCUACUAUUUACCAUCCUCUAGAGAUACUAGUGAAAGGGAAAGAGUGUUAUCACUAUAUGAUGAGACUAUUUCAUCUGCUUGCCCCCCCAAAUAUAGAUCAAACAUUUAUUGAACACUUCUGCCUUUUCUGUAUUAGUGAUAAUUCUAGUUGCAUCUAGUAAUUGAUCAAUACCAUUGUCAUGAUUAUUUUGUUUCAUAUUUAAAAUAUGCCUUCUUAUAGUUUUAACUCUGCUGGCCAUAGACUUCUUGUGUCCCUUUACUUCCCUUAUCAAUUUUCUACAAAUCCUAAUUUCUAAUCUAUGUUCAUUACUAUCAACUUCCCCUUUUCUUCCAUUUGUUUUUAUU